UACGUAGGGGGCGAGCGUUGUCCGGAAUUAUUGGGCGUAAAGCACGCGCAGGCGGUCCCUUAAGUCUGAUGUGAAAGCCCACGGCUCAACCGUGGAGGGUCAUUGGAAACUGGGGGACUUGAGUGCAGGAGAGGAGAGCGGAAUUCCACGUGUAGCGGUGAAAUGCGUAGAGAUGUGGAGGAACACCAGUGGCGAAGGCGGCUCUCUGGCCUGCAACUGACGCUGAGGCGCGAAAGCGUGGGGAGCAAACAGG
rnacentral:rRNA from 1 species